UACGGAGGGGGCUAGCGUUGUUCGGAAUUACUGGGCGUAAAGCGCACGCAGGUGGUUUCUUAAGUCUGAUGUGAAAGCCCACGGCUCAACCGUGGAGGGUCAUUGGAAACUGGGAGACUUGAGUGCAGAAGAGGAUAGUGGAAUUCCAAGUGUAGCGGUGAAAUGCGUAGAGAUUUGGAGGAACACCAGUGGCGAAGGCGACUAUCUGGUCUGUAACUGACACUGAGGCGCGAAAGCGUGGGGAGCAAACAGG
rnacentral:rRNA from 1 species